rnacentral:rRNA from 1 species
UGUUGUGUUCCAAAUUGGCUGAGGUGAUGUUUCUGAUCUCAGAAGCUAAGCAGGGUUGGGCCCUGUAUAGUACUUGGAUGGGAGACUGCCUGGGAAUACUGGGAGACAUAGGUU